rnacentral:sRNA from 1 species
AUGAAUUGUGCCCCAUUAUACGAUUAUUAUAUUUUAUUCAUAAACUGGUCACAACUCCAAUAAAAGUCCAGCCAAGGGUAAGGCGGGCCAUUUGGCCCUGGUGCAUAUCGAAUGCGCGACUUGUAUUUCAUAUUAGUUAUGCAAAUAACAAUUACUUGGAAAUCCGCCCAGCACAAGUUGAGCCAGCAAUGAGUUAAGUUCGCGAGAGACUUUCCCCAGAAUUGUGCUUAAAAGUGGAGCUCCAUUAAAAUACAUAAGUCCACAAUCAGAGCGCAACUUCAAAUUUUGGCCACGUAAAAGCAAUUACGUGUGCGGAAUCCAGCCAAAACUAUUUCCCUGUGAAAAUGUGGAAAAUAUAGGAAAAACUUGCAAUGUGCAGUUCGUUCCACAGACGAUCGAUAAGGCCCGCAGGACGGAGAAGGAGAAGUAGGCGGAGGAGCAACUGCCACGCCUGCCCCCCGCUGGGCGCAAGGCAAACUUAUAUGGCACAGACGUCGUCGCACUCGGCUCGGAAAGUGGUUGGAAACAAGGUUAUUUUGCCCGCGGCCAAGACGCGUGGGCGUGGGACGCAGCAUUGCCAAAAGCAGCCACAGAAAAAAAAAACAACACACAAAAUGUGCACAAGACACGCAACCAAACAACAACAACAACAACAACUGCCCACAAAAGACCAAAAGCGAGCUAUAUAUAACUCGAACUCGAAGCUGUAAAAUACAGGAGGCAGGCACAGGUUUCACACUCAAAGGAAAUACGUUCUAGAUUAUAUUAGAAAUAAAAUGCGAAGAGAACUCCGCAUUGCGCUCUGUA